GACUAAAAUAGUAGCCUCAGGCAGCAGGUACUGUCCUUAUCACCCAUGGCUAAUAACUGGACGCUGAGUACCAGAAAUGUCUCUCAGCUAAUAAGUGGUGGAGCUGCAGUUUAAACUUGAGAAAUCUCGUUCCAGAGCUGUGACCUUAAACACCAGGUCAAACAUUCUCCAACCGUGUGGUCCCAGCCUGUCUACCGGUCCAAAACUCCUCUUGGGGGUUCACAAAAUGAAAACUAUUUUCACAAUACUUUUUCACUCUCAUUCUCUCAGGGGUGUACAGUGUAAUUAUCUAGAGGCUUCUGAAUCCAGAGGCUAUAUGACAUAAACAAGAACUCUUUUGAAUGUCUUAAACUUUUAAGAACAUAAAGGAAUCCCGAGGCCCAGAGUUUGAGAAGCCUUGCACUAGGCCAGGGUCUCUCAACCUCAGCACUGUCAUUUCUUUGUUGUGGGCACUGCAGGAUGUGUAGCAGCAUCCCUGGCCUCUACCUACUAGAUACCAAGUAGUACCCCUCAGGACAACCAAGUGUUUCCUGACAUUACCAAAUGUCCUUUGGGGGAAAAAUGUCUCUGGUUGAGAACCACUGCACUAGGCUAUGCUAUUCUUUUCUCUGCCAGGGCUGCCAGCCCUGUUGGUGAUGACUUUAAUUUCGAACCUCCCUUCCCCCUCACAAUCUCGUAAUUUACCUAUUUUCAGUUAACCUCUGCGGGGCAGGGAUUGUGUCUUUAUUACUCUGAUUCCAGCCCCCAGCCCAGACCUGGCAUAGAUGAAGGGUCAGUUUUGUAAGCGCUGGGUGAGGUAAGGGAGCAGCGCUUUCACUUAAGGGUCCCCAAAGAAAGUGGCAUUUAAGUUGAGUCAGACACAUGGCAGAUAGCUGCUCUUUAAGCCCAGUUGAAUCUUGUCAGAUUCUCUGAAUUGAUUCUCCCCAUUACCCCUCUGCAGACUCCCCCUCCCCAUUUAUCUGGGCAGCCAGGUAAAUCCAAGAGACGUCCAGCCCUAGACCGUUUUUUCACCUUCCAGAGGCCAACCUCUGCCCACACCAGUGACCCUACCACUUCCCAGAGCAGUUGGGUGAAUUCUAAUCCUUUUAAAUCCACCCUGGCAAUCCUGUCCCCCUUUGCAAGGCCCUCCUUUUCCCAUCCUCCGUUGCUGCCAGAAGUGGCCAUGUCAUCUGAUUCUAGCCAAGAAAUGGCACCGGAAGUCUGCUGAGGAGCUUGUGGAAGUUCCAGCCGUUAAAAGAAAACAGGCAGCGUCUAGGGCCCAUGCCUCCUCACCUAAGAUGCGGAAGAUGAAGUGUAGCUGUUCCUCCACCGUGGAGCCCGGGAAGAGGGGCCGGCCUGUGGCCAUCUCAUAGAAGAUGCAGCCCACACCCCUGGGCAGGGAGGGCACAGUGAAUAGAGAGGCAGCUGACUGGGUGGCUGUUGUGACCAAGCCACCCCCUUUACCACGUGGCCCCUGCCACACUUCCACCUGUCCUUACCACAUGUCAAUCUGAGUGGAGUAGUCCGUGGACCCGAGCAGGAUGUCAGGGGGCCGGUACCACAGUGUCACCACCUCAUUGGAGUAUGUCUUUGUUGGGAUUGACUUGGC